rnacentral:lncRNA from 1 species
GUAAGUACCCACAUAGUACUUGGCAUGAGACUGUCCUUGCAAAUUAGAAAUACACCUGCAAAUACAUUUUAGAGAUGCUGAAAUUUCUCACUGCAUGAAGCUGACACAUAUUCAAUCAAUUUAGUAUGUUUUGAAGUCAAGAAAAUGCAAUUGCAGGUUCUUUCUUCUUUUUGUGGUGUUCAUGCCAAAGAACCCAGCUGGGUGAGUUUUGGAACAUGGCACUGUGACACCUCGGGGUCCUAUCUGCAGUGUGCCAGCCACACAGACACCUUGCUUGUCAGUUCUUCCCCCCCACCCCUCAACAGCAGUUGCAGUGUUCACAGCUCCCCACUUCUCAGCUAUGGUUCUUUACAGGACAGGGAAAUGUGUAAAUUCUUCAGCUGGAGAGUUCAUUGUGUCUGCGUCAGUCAGCUGAGUGACUCUGUUGUGAUACUAAUGCAGGUCUGACUCUAGGUUUAAAGCCUGAAUUUAUAUAACUGAAAAACUCGGCACAUUUAUGUUGAGAGAAGUGAGUAAUUUUUGUUUUCUUAAGCUUCACCUGAUUUAAAAGCUUUUCUCCUUCAUUCUAUUUCCCUCCUCUUCUGUUCUUGCGUAUCUGUUUUGACAUGCUACCUCACAAAUAACUGAUCCUCUCUUUCUUCAUAGUAAAGAGUUGUGGUUUUUCAAAAAAUCUGAAGAUGUAUCUCAC